AACAGAAACUGCAGGUGUUUAUCUGUGUCUGGUGAAUAUUUUGGUAAAAACAUGUUUGUUUUUCAUUCAGUGGGCAGAAAAUCCAGAAAUUUUACUCAAGAGUAGAAAUACUUCCUAAUAAAAUUAGUCAAGU